ensembl:lincRNA
GACAGUAUUCUCAGUUCUUUAUGACCUCUACCACAAAAAGAGUCUCUGGAAUCCAUAUGGACAGUCUUGCAGAUCUGCUGCCUUGAGAGGAGCAGUAAUUUUGGUUGGGAAUGCAGCCUUCCAAGUAGAUUGGCCAAAGGAGAAGAGAAAGGCAACUGAUUGAGAGGACUAAAAAACUUAUGAAGAAGCGGGUAUACUUCAGCCAGCAUGUCAAUUUCAUCCAUUUUUGUUUACGUUUUUAAAGCCAUCACAUACAUUUUGGGAAUGAAAACAGGUUUUCCUAAAGGAAAACGGAACCAGCUGGAGUAAUUAAGGUAAAAUACCACACCCCC